GACGAACGCUGGCGGCGUGCUUAACACAUGCAAGUCGAACGGAAAGGCCCUGCUUUUGUGGGGUGCUCGAGUGGCGAACGGGUGAGUAACACGUGAGUAACCUGCCCUUGACUUUGGGAUAACUUCAGGAAACUGGGGCUAAUACCGGAUAGGAGCUCCUGCUGCAUGGUGGGGGUUGGAAAGUUUCGGCGGUUGGGGAUGGACUCGCGGCUUAUCAGCUUGUUGGUGGGGUAGUGGCUUACCCAGGCUUUGACGGGUAGCCGACCUGAGAGGGUGACCGGCCACAUGGGGCCUGAGAUACGGCCCAGACUCGUACGGGAGGCAGCAGUGGGGAAUAUUGCACAAUGGGCGGAAGCCUGAUGCAGCAACGCCGCGUGCGGGAUGACGGCCUUCGGGUUGUAAACCGCUUUCGCCUGUGACGAAGCGUGAGUGACGGUAAUGGGUAAAGAAGCACCGGCUAACUACGUG
rnacentral:rRNA from 1 species